GGUGAACGCUGGCGGCGUGCUUAAGACAUGCAAGUCGAACGGCAGUCUUCGGACUGUAGGGCGCACGGGUGAGUAACGCGUAACUGACCUACCCCAAAGUCGCGGAUAACGAUUCGAAAGAAUCGCUAAUACGUGAUGUGCUGUCAGAUUGUGUUCUGCCAGUAAAGAUUGAUUGCUUUGGGAUGGGGUUGCGUUCCAUCAGCUAGUUGGUGGGGUAAGGGCCCACCAAGGCGACGACGGAUAGCCGGCCUGAGAGGGUGGCCGGCCACAGGGGCACUGAGACACGGGUCCCACUCCUACGGGAGGCAGCAGUUAGGAAUCUUCCACAAUGGGCGAAAGCCUGAUGGAGCGACGCCGCGUGAGGGAUGAAGGUCUUCGGAUCGUAAACCUCUGAAUCAGGGACGAAAGACACUUCGGUGGGAUGACGGUACCUGAGUAAUAGCACCGGCUAACUCCGUGCCAGCCGCCGCCGUAAUAC
rnacentral:rRNA from 1 species